rnacentral:misc_RNA from 1 species
GAGUGCAGGCCCUUUCUACAGGAUGAAGUCGGUGAGUUUCGAAUAGUUUGCAUACGAAAUUUCUUCUCUACGGGUGCAUAAUGGACCAAAGAAAUAAUAUAUAUGCAAGUCUAGGGCGAGUUGUCACACGUCUAACCUAUAAUUAAGAAAACAUUAUUUAAAAUUAUGAUUUUUUUUAAUAAAUAUAGUUAAAUUUCGAUUCUUAAUAAAUUUCGCUGUU